rnacentral:lncRNA from 1 species
GGGAGAAGAGGGAGAUAGGGAGCCCGACAUUUGGGAAGGGCAGGCUUGCCUCUGGGAUGGGGAGGAGCCGGUGCACGGAUCCUGCUGUGCCUCUGUGCAGGGCGCGCCCAGUAGUUUGGGAUUUGCAAGAAAAUGCAAUCAAACAACAUGGGCAAAGUGCGAUGCGUUUAUCCUAAGCCAAGAACACGCUUAGAAUGCACGCCCAGAGCCAGUUCUCCCCAAGGGAUGGCAACGCACCUGUGUGCCGGGCUCCGCGCAAGGGCUUUCCCUGUUUAUUCUCCCGCCGCCGCUAACAACCUUGUGGGGCGGGCAUGGUUGGAUCCCCAAUUUAAAAGUGGGGAAACUGAGGACAGAUUAACCUGUCUGCACGUAACACAGCUGAAAAGUGGUGGAAUUGCUAUUUCUUUCAGGUUUGCCUGAUUCUAGAGCUCAAUGCUGCCCAUCAGGUGUUUGAAGUCAUGAUUUGGUGAAAAUGGGACAGUGAAGACGUUCUGAAAAAAAAAAAAGGCAUAUGAUGAGGUUUGGACAUUGAGAGGUAUAGGCUGGCUGUAGGAGUCGGGUUUAUGCUGUGAUGCACAGUGACACGUACCUCUCUCUGUUCAGCAAGGUUCAUUCCGGCUAUUCAUUUAACAGCUGGAAAGUUCUAUAUCUGUGGCAAAGAUGAUCUGCGGUGGAGGGUUUAUUCCUGGCCCCUGGCCUUCCUGGCCUUGGUCUUUUGAGUGCUUGCCGGAUCCCUAGUUCCUUUCCGGUUCCAGUAGUGAGAGGAAUAAACACUUAAAACUCCAGUCCAAUACACUCUCAAUGUCAAUACCCUCCCUAUCUUUAAAAGAAGAAAAAAAAAUACUAAAUCAUCUUUGUUUAAAG